UACGGGGGGGGCAAGCGUUGUUCGGAAUUACUGGGCGUAAAGGGCUCGUAGGCGGCCAACUAAGUCCGACGUGAAAUCCCAAGGCUUAACCUUGGAACUGCGUCGGAUACUGGAUGGCUUGAAUUCGGGAGAGGGAUGCAGAAUUCCAGGUGUAGCGGUGAAAUGCGUAGAUAUCUGGAGGAACACCGGUGGCGAAGGCGGGCUACUGGGCCGAUACUGACGCUGAUGCGCGAAAGCCAGGGGAGCGAACGGG
rnacentral:rRNA from 1 species